AUGGCUAUCGGAAAUUUCUCAUUACUUGCUGCUGCUGCAAGAAGGUAUAUUAUAAUUUAUAUAUGCAUCUAUUUACUGUUUUUUUUUUUUCCCUCUUCACACCUCCUAAAAUCUUAUUAUUUUCAUUUUAUCCUAACUUGUCCCAAUUAAAACAAGAUGAUUGUAUUCUUUUUUGUUUUUUUCUUUUGUUUUCUAGGAUGGUCGUAGUUGUCAUCACUAUGGCUCUGGUAACUAUCAUGGCUGUGUCCUAAAUUUCUUUUUGAAUUCUAAUUAUGUUUUAAAAUAAAAUGGGGCUUUGAGUAAUUAGUUAUUUUCCACAGAAAACAACACUCAGUAGUUAGGCCGACCAUUAUUGUUGGUGUACUCUUUGUAUUGACACUUUGUGACUGGAGACCCUCUUUAUGGUUGGAUUAUUGAAGUAAUUUUCAGUUGCUAAAGAUGUCCUUACUUUGUUUCCUUUUUCAAUAUUUCUCAAUAGUUUCAUUAUAACUUUUAUAUUAAAUGAAUGUUUUAUAUACAUUUUUAUUUCAUGAAGAAUAAAUAAAAAUAAAAUCUAUAAAAUAGACCCAAGGGUGAAAUCAAAUCAAUGACUAUAGUGGGCUGUAGCCCAAGUAGAUUUUGAAGGAAAAAAAAAAUGUCUAUUUACAUGUUCCACCAGCAACAAUUUUGCUGCCUUUUGGCGAAAGUUUUUUUAAGGUGAAAAAAAAAAAAAAAAAAGGCUAUAUGGCCCACCAUCAAAUACAACACAUAAGAUUCAGGAAAUAUAUAUAUUUUUUGUCAAAUCAAUUUGUGUUCUCUGCUAUUUAACAAAAAGGGAAAAGCUAUUUAAUAUUGGACGGUCCAAUAAAAAUCCUCAUAAAUCUUUCAACCCACAAUUGCAGACUCAGUAAGUAAUUGAAAUUCAAAAGUAAGAAGAGGGCUUCAAAAAUGGAACAGUAUGUUAGCUAUUGUUUUGUGUUUACAACUAACACACACACACACUAUAUAUAUAUUCCUAGCUAAAAAUUUUGAUGUCUCUUUUUAGUUAAAAAUUUUAGGUAGCCCAUUCAUUCAUAAAUUCCUAGUUUCGCUUUAGUCACAGUUCCGCCCUAGUCACAUAAGGAUAAUGUACAUGAAAUUUAUUGAAGUCAAUUACAUUAAAACUCUUUGAGAUAUAUACAUAAGCGAUAGUCUAAAUUAUUCUCAAUUAAUCUGAUCUUCAAAGAGGAGAAUUUGAAAUUGGGGUGCACAGGCUCUUUGUUUUGUCAAUUAAAUUAUGAACCUAUGAUUUAACCCUUACACCUUUGACGAAUAUCAUAGCACAAUUAAAUUAUGAACCUAUAUUUGCUAAUUAUCUUACAAGAAGACCAUUGGAGACUAGGGAUCGGAGACAAAAACUCUAUUUUAUUUCAAAAUUUUCCCUUCAGUAAUUUUUAUAUGAAGUUCAUUUUCCCCUUUGUCGUUCUAAAUCCAACUUCCUUAUUUACAUUGAGUGGAACACAAGACUUUCACCAUUUGAGGAGUGAUUCGCCAUUGUUAUCAUGUUUUUUUGUUGAAACUCACACUGCUUUGUAAAUACUGAAGGCUUGAAGGUAAAGUGGCCGUAAUCACUGGUGGGGCGAGCGGCAUAGGAGAGUCCACUGCAAGACUCUUCUCAAAACAUGGAGCUAAAGUUGUGAUUGCAGAUGUGCAAGACGACUUGGCUGAAUCUGUUUGCAGAGACCUAAGCCCUUCGUCCACUUCGUUUGUCCAUUGCGAUGUAACGAAAGAAGAAGACGUCGAAAACGCUGUCCAAACAGCCACAAACAAAUAUGGAAAGCUAGACAUCAUGUUCAACAAUGCAGGUAUAGUUGGCAUGGUAAAACCCAACAUCCUUGACAAUGACAAGGUAGAAUUUGAGCAAGUGAUUAGGGUAAAUCUGGUUGGUGCGUUUUUGGGGAUCAAACAUGCAGCUCGCGUUAUGAUCCCAGCUGGAAAAGGUAGCAUAAUCAACACUGCUAGUGUUUGUUCUACCAUCGGGGGUUGCGCACCACAUGCAUACACGAGUUCAAAGCAUGGUUUAGUAGGGCUGGUGAGAAACACGGCCGUGGAACUUGGACAACACGGUAUUCGUGUGAAUUGUGUGUCACCGUAUAUAGUUUCCACGCCUUUAGCGAAGGAGUUCUUUAAGCUUGAUGAUGAUAAACUUCAUGGUGCUUAUUCCAACCUUAAAGGUGGGGUUCUUAAGGCAGAAGAUAUUGCUAAAGCUGCUCUUUACUUGGGUAGUGAUGAGUCAAAGUAUGUUAGUGGGCAUAAUCUUUUGGUAGAUGGAGGCUUCACUAUUGUGAACGCA
rnacentral:lncRNA from 1 species